UGAAGGGCUCAUGUAGGCGUGGAGCGAAAGCGAGGUUGGCGAGAAGGCGUGGAUGUAGCGAGGGAGCCGUCACUUGAAAGAUGUUAUCUGAUGCUGGGUGAUUCAACCUCCUAAAAUGAAGUGGAUGGAAGGGUUCUCAUCCAGCUCCAGAGGAAACUACAAACACCAAGUACACAAAAACUUAAACGUUCACGCGUCGGUAUGACAAACGCCCUCGAUUUGAGCCGAAUUCAUGGAGCAAUACGAGGUGGCAGGUGCGUUGAGGAGAGCAGUGCGACGUUGUGUAGGACAUUGGUGCACUAAAAGACGUUCUCACCAUGACUGAAUGUAAGGAUGACGUACCAGUUUUGAACGCCGGCGGAUCUGAUGAGCUCAGGCGCGCGCACGAAGUAUUUUUCAUGAUAGUGUGCCCCCACGUCAAGAAAAACAUGGUUCUGUUCGUUGUUCGUUGGGUUCUUUGCGCCCUGACGUUGACUGUCCAGAGAGCUGAUGUGGGCUUGAAGAGACUGGCACUGAUUUGAUGCAGUGCUACUACAACAGCGAGGGCUCCGAUCCUCCUAGUCAGGGAAUGGUCAACCACGAAUUUCGGCAGCCAGAGCGAUCCUUCACAACAUUCCGGCGACCAGUAUUGCAGCAUAAACUGUUGUCAAAUUUCAGCAAAUCUUUCUCAACCUCGAACCGGGAUGACUUUGAAAGCUCUACAACUGACGUUACGUGUUUUUAAGUGAUAGGAAUAGAGGUAAAGAGAACCACUUACAUUUUUUGCAUCCACAGGCACCGACUCUAAUGCUUCCUAGUUUAUAUAUUAGCCAAUAUAUGAGACAUUUAAUUAUCCUAACUGGUAAGCAAAACGCUUUUGUAUUCUGAAAGGUAAUCCUUUCAAACGGCCUUCUCUAAGCUGCAUAGAGCUCCUUGGUGCAGGCACAAAGAACCUGGUUUAUACUUUUUGUUUUUGUUUUAUUUU